AAAACUUUCAACAACGGAUCUCUUGGUUCUGGCAUCGAUGAAGAACGCAGC
rnacentral:rRNA from 2 species